AUACUUACCUCGUGCUGGGCUGUCCGGUGGUCAUAAUGGCCGGCGCCCCAGGCGGAAGUUGCCAUUGCACUGCGGUCGGCUGAAGCAUGCCACUUCCCCAAACAGGGGCAGAUGCAGCAUGCAAUAUCC
rnacentral:snRNA from 1 species